rnacentral:lncRNA from 1 species
CCUCAUUAGGAAAAACAUCAUCAAAUUCCUGCAACAAAUCAUGAAUUAUGUUAGGCAAUGUGGAAUGUGAUUUGUUAGUUGGUGAUGAAGCUUCCUUGUACAUCAGCACAAGGAAUGGGGCUGUGGUGUUCCUUACAUCUCUCAAAUCACUCUUGCUCACAAGUAAACACUCAUUCUUUUGUGGCACUCUUGUCUUUUCAGUUUGGUGGAAAGAAUGAGAUGGCAUUGGAUUUUUUCUCUUACUAUAUUUUUGUGUCUCACUCAGUUUUCUUUCCUCACAUUGCUCUCUCUUCAUUCUAGCAACAUCAAAAGCAUGUAUUUCUUCAGGGAGAUACUGGAAGUAGCACCACCUUCCUGUCCUUAUGCAAAAAUGUGUGCUUGUUGGAGCGUGCAAAAUGCAUUAAGUCCACAUCAAACUGCCAUGGACGACCAAGAAGCAAGUGGCAUGCUUGCAUAGGAACAACAUUGCAAUCUAUCUCAUCAUGAUAAUCCCCAAUAGAGAAAGAAAAUCGAACCAUGGAGGAAACCUUCACUGUACUAGAAUUGUUCAACCAUUGCAUAUGAUAAGGAUGAGGGUGACGACGUGUUGCCAAUUGGAGCUUCUCAACAAGCAAUGCACUCACAAUGUUAUUACAACUCCCACCAUCAAUAAUGAAAUGACACACCUGCCCUUUAAUCUUGCACCGUGAUUGGAAUAAGUUAUGUCAUUGUCCUUGUUCAGCUGCAACAAAUUGUGUAGAAAGAACUCGCCAAACAACAAAUGAACUACCCUUUGCAGCCAUGUUCGAGGGCAAGCAUAUAGGUUCCAAUGGAAUAAGAAACUCCAAAGCAUUUGUUGGAUAAUUUUAUGGCAAUUCCAUACCCACUUCAGCAUAACAAAUAACAUCAUCAAAAGAUUGGUGUCCAUCACAUGUAGCAACAGCAAAAGGUGCAGCCAACAAAGACAUAGACGUCUGACCAAAAGAGGAGCUAACAUUCAUAGAACUGUUAUAUUCAUUAGAGACAUCAUCACUCGAAUCAUAUAGCAAUUCAUCAAAGUCAGUGCUACUGAUUUCCUCGGUGGCGUGUGGAAAAGCCUCACAUGAGGUAUCUUUAUAUUUAGUAGAAAAGAACCGACGAGCCAAGCAAUUCAACGCCAAUUCUAACUCACCAUCUUCAGUAGCAUACUCAUGAGUUUCAACAUUUGCAUCACUUGGGUCAACUUCAUCUUCCUUGUCUUCCUCCUCACUUUGUGAAUCAUAUGAGCCAUCAGCAAGAAUAACAAUGACACGACGAUUAGGACACUCAGCUUGCUUAUGCCCAUG